UACGUAGGGGGCAAGCGUUGUCCGGAAUCAUUGGGCGUAAAGAGCGCGUAGGCGGCCCUGUAAGUCCGCUGUGAAAGUCAAGGGCUCAACCCUUGGAUGCCGGUGGAUACUGCAGGGCUAGAGUCCGGAAGAGGCGAGUGGAAUUCCUGGUGUAGCGGUGAAAUGCGCAGAUAUCGUAAGGAAGACCAGUGGCGAAGGCGGGUCUCUGGACAGUUCCGUGACACUGAGGCACGAAGGCCAGGGGAGCAAACGGGG
rnacentral:rRNA from 1 species